GACGAACGCUGGCGGCGUGCUUAACACAUGCAAGUCGAACGGAAAGGCCCUGCUUUUGUGGGGUGCUCGAGUGGCGAACGGGUGAGUAACACGUGAGUAACCUGCCCUUGACUUUGGGAUAACUUCAGGAAACUGGGGCUAAUACCGGAUAGGAGCUCCUGCUGCAUGGUGGGGGUUGGAAAGUUUCGGCGGUUGGGGAUGGAAUCGCGGCUUAUCAGCUUGUUGGUGGGGUAGUGGCUUACCAAGGCUUUGACGGGUAGCCGGCCUGGGAGGGUGACCGGCCACAUUGGGACUGAGAUACGGCCCAGACUCCUACGGGAGGCAGCAGUGGGGAAUAUUGCACAAUGGGCGGAAGCCUGAUGCAGCAACGCCGCGUGCGGGAUGACGGCCUUCGGGUUGUAAACCGCUUUCGCCUGUGACGAAGCGUGAGUGACGGUAAUGGGUAAAGAAGCACCGGCUAACUACGUG
rnacentral:rRNA from 1 species